CUGUCUUUCACUAGCCAGGAUGAUUCUUACCACUUGUGCAACUCGAAACAAAUGUUAAAAAUAUGUCGAAGAGAAGGCAAACACCGAGGCAAACUUCAAAACAAAAAGCUAAAAUAUUUUUGUGAAAAUCAGGGGGAUGAGAAACUGGUAGCGGGCUCAAAAUGAGCCUUGCUCAGUGGUAAUUACCACGAGGAUUUGGGACCAGUGGCGUCAUUCUGG